AAGACCUGACACCUGCCGAGCAGGGGAGAAGGCACCCAGUAAUUGGGUUAGCAGCCAGCCAUGCAGAGGAGACUGGGGGCUCUGCUGGGGCUUCUGUGGGUGCAGCUUUGCUGGGUGAGAGGGCAGCAGGUGGAGCAGAGUCCUUCAGCCCUGAGGCUCCAGGAGGGAACCAGCCCUACUCUGAGGUGCAAUUUUUCCACCACCAUAGACAGGGUGCAGUGGUUCCUACAGAAUCCUGGGGGUGGCCUCAUCAAUCUGCUUUACCUGACUUCAGGGACAAAGCAGGAGGGAAGGUUAAAGGCAACAAUGAAUUUUCAGGAGCGCUACAGCACCCUGCACAUCUCCACCUCCCAGCUGGAAGACUCAGGCACCUACCUCUGUGCAGCAGAGGCACAGUGCACCUAG